rnacentral:rRNA from 1 species
UACGGGGGGGGCAAGCGUUGUUCGGAAUUACUGGGCGUAAAGCGUGCGUAGGCGGUUGGCAAAGUCAGCUGUGAAAGCCCCGGGCUUAACCUGGGAAUGGCGGUUGAAACUAGUCGACUAGAAUCUGGCAGAGGGGGGUGGAAUUCCACGUGUAGCAGUGAAAUGCGUAGAGAUGUGGAGGAACACCAAUAGCGAAGGCAGCUCGCUGGGACGUUACUGACACUGAGGCGCGAAAGCGUGGGGAGCGAACAGG